rnacentral:rRNA from 1 species
CGUGAGCCAGGUUGGAUUCUAUCUUUAAAUAUAUUAAAUGAUCUAGUACGAAAGGACCUAUCAUUUGUAAAAUUUACUAAUUUUAUUGAAUAAAA